AUACGGAGGACGCGAGCGUUAUCCGGAUUCAUUGGGUUUAAAGGGUGCGUAGGCGGCCGUGCAAGUCAGCGGUGAAAGCCCGGGGCUCAACCCCGGAAGUGCCGUUGAUACUGCGUGGCUGGAAUGCGGUCGAGGCGGGCGGAACGUGGCGGGUAGCGGUGAAAUGCGUAGAUAUGCCACAGAACGCCGAUAGCGGAGGCAGCUCGCCAGGCCUGCAUUGACGCUCGGGCACGAAAGCGUGGGGAUCGAACAGGAUUAGAUACCCUGGUAGUCCACGCCGUAAACGAUGGGCGCUCGUCGUCGGCGGCAGACAGUCGGCGGCCAAGCGAAAGCGAUAAGCGCCCCACCUGGGGAGUACGGUCGCAAGGCUGAAACUCAAAGGAAUUGGCGGGG
rnacentral:rRNA from 1 species